rnacentral:misc_RNA from 1 species
GAAUUAGCAAUACAAAAUAUUACACCAGUAAUUCUAUCAUUAGGAAUGAAUCAUAAAAUAGGUUUCUAUACAAAUUCACCAUAAAAUUGUUCCUCCUAAACCCUCAUUAAGUGAGGUUUGCAAUAACAGUUUUAUUUGUAACAUCAGUUCCACUCAAAGUUUAUCUCUUGCACUUCCAUACAAAGAGUUGGAUGGCCUGAAAUUAUGAGAAUUCAGAGUAAUGAAUAGAGUAGCAGCAAACUAGUUUGCAAACAAGAAAGCAGAAUUUUUAGAGCAAUAUUCAAUAGAAUUAGUAGGAACAAUCUUAACAUCAGUAAUUUCAUCAGUGGGAACGAGCCAUAAUAUAAUUUUCUAUGACAAUUCAUCACAAAGUCCUUCCUUCGAUUAUUAAGGUGCACUAACUGUUUUAUCUAUAAUAGCAGUUUCACUCAAAAGUUCAUGUCACACCCAUACAAAGGGCUGGAUGGCCUGAGGUGCUCACAGACAGGUAUAAUAGAAGGUCAGAUGUAAGCUAACUCAUGAAGAGCCAGAUUGACAUUAAUGUGUA